CCUUUGUACACACCGCCCGUCGCUACUACCGAUUGAAUGGCUUAGUGAGGUCUUGGGAUUGGCUUCGGGGAGCCGGCAACGGCACCCUGUCGCUGAGAACUUGAUCAAACUUGGUCAUUUAGAGG
rnacentral:rRNA from 1 species